rnacentral:rRNA from 1 species
UACGGGGGGGGCAAGCGUUGUUCGGAAUUAUUGGGCGUAAAGAGCUCGUAGGCGGUCUGUCACGUCGGCUGUGAAAACCCGAGGCUCAACCUCGGGCCUGCAGUCGAUACGGGCAAACUAGAGUGUUGCAGGGGAGACUGGAAUUCCUGGUGUAGCGGUGAAAUGCGCAGAUAUCAGGAGGAACACCGGUGGCGAAGGCGGGUCUCUGGGCAACAACUGACGCUGAGGAGCGAAAGCGUGGGGAGCGAACAGG